UCCCACUUCUGAUUGUCCUGCCUCUAACUGC
rnacentral:piRNA from 1 species